CCGCAGGGGCGCUGUCCCAAGCCCCAGGUGCCCUGCAGGCGGUCCAGCCAAUCUGACAUCCCCAGUGCCCUACCCCUGUGGGGCCCCUGCUCCCCACUGCCUUCCCCAAGAUCCAUCCGGGCCUUACUAGUCCUUCUUAGCCCUCUGGGAAACUCCUGGAGUCUUUUUGAUCAUUCCUGGUCCUUCCCGGGCCCCCAAUUUUGGGAACAUUUUAGGCUCUUUAGGGCUUCCCUGGGCAUUCCUUCGUUACUUUCCUUCCCUAGGUUCUGGGCUUCCUAGCGACCUGUGGGUCUUCUUGGCCCUGGUGAGGCUCCACAGGCCUUCUCUGGGUGUGGCUGAGGACUCUUGAAGUGGCCAGUAGGCCUGUGAUACCCAGGUCCUGGUUCACAGACCUCUAUUCCAAUAUACCUAGCCUGUCUAGGAUACAUUUAUGUUAUAAGAGUCCAGUUUUGUAACCCCGAAUGAGCAUCUCCUGCCACCUCUACAAAUUAAGUGGAAAAGAGGUUUGAAUUGGAGUCAACUGCUGAGGAAGAAUAAACAGCUAACUAUUGACCCUCAGCUAUCUAUUCACCUGAGACUGCUAGUCUGGGUUCCUAAGAAUCACUCUGAGGUUUGUACAUCCUCUAAGAGUCUCUGUUUUCCUCUGUGGCACAGCCUCACCUCAACAGCCUCUCUUUCCCACUACCAUCCCUACUCAAAGGCUUUUCCUUCCAUGCUUUGAUGACAUCAAAAUCAUGGCUCUCUUUUCCUUUGUCACUAAAUGUGAAUGAUUAUAGGACAUGCUGAGCUGGGAUCCUCUUUCUGGGAGUUGGAGCCCUCCCACCUCAGCUGCUGCGAGCCAAAUACUCUCUUUAGGACGCUUCCUUUGAGAAACCUGGAGAUGAUCUUCUCUUUCUGAACGUUGCUGAACACUCUGCCUUCUGGGAGCCAGCUGGCCUUGUCAAACGCACAGCUGUGGCUUGUUGGCAGCGGAAGGUGCUCAGGAGACACAGGAGCCAUCUUUGAAAUAACAAAAAAGAAAGGAAAUUGCUCGUUACCUAAGAGCUAGUUGUAGGAGAAGAAAAAACAACCCUGGGUGCUGCCCUGUUCUGCCCCGUGCUGCGGGACCAAUUUAUUUAGGGGAUGCUGCUUUGGAAAUAACCCAUGUUGUCCUGUGAUGGGUAGUGAGAAUCCUGAAUUCUCUGGCUUGGAAAAGGUCCUAGCAAGACAUCAGUUGCCAAGAGAGGUUAGUCUAACUCCAAAGCCAAGCAACAUACCUUCGUG